rnacentral:ncRNA from 12 species
GGUUGGGCGGUGCUGCUUUUGAAGGUGCCGUUUUCAAGAAAUUUGCUUUUUGGGUGGAAAGCU